ensembl:lncRNA
GUCCCAUAAAAGGAGAAGAUGAUGGAGCCCAAUAGACAAGGCCCCCUCCCACCCCCACCUGCUCUUCAGUCACUGUGACCACAGCUGAACCAUGUGAUACACAACUUCAGCAGAAGACGGUCAGCUGAGCCAGCAUGCUUGGCAUCGCAUAGGUGGGGAGAUGUUCUUUGAAUGGACUUAGGUAUGUUUUCAUGAACUGGCAGGUUGAGUCCACUUACCUGUUUCUCUUCUCUCCAGUGAUUGCAAUCAGGUGAGUGGGAUAUAAACUACACAGUGAAAUGCCACGGAGGGGCAGCAUGAGAGCUGGAAGGGAGAGAGUCUGAGACAGAGGCCCACAGGGCACCAGUGUUUGAAAGACGGAAGAGAGAAAAGAGCAGGAGAGAGCAGGGAAGAAGCAGGACGACUUCGAUGCACAGCCCCUCGACAUCCCAGGGAAGAAACCACUGCAAAGGGAGUUGUGAAAAUGCACAGCAUCACACUGUUCUCGAGGCCACAAGAUGGAGACAUUUCUCUUUGAGGUGAUACACUUCAUCAACACUCAGAAACUGCCGAUUUGCUUAUCUUUUCUUGAGGAGACAUACACUGCCUGACUAAUUUGUCUGGUUGAGUUGAAUGUUUCAACAGAAGGCAGAACAACAACAAAAA